rnacentral:rRNA from 1 species
UACGGGGGGGGCAAGCGUUGUUCGGAAUUACUGGGCGUAAAGGGCUCGUAGGCGGCCAACUAAGUCAGACGUGAAAUCCCUCGGCUUAACCGGGGAACUGCGUCUGAUACUGGAUGGCUUGAGUUCGGGAGAGGGAUGCGGAAGUUCCAGGUGUAGCGGUAGAAAUGCGUAGAUAUCUGGAGGAACACCGGUGGCGAAGGCGGCAUCCUGGACCGAUACUGACGCUGAUGAGCGAAAGCCAGGGGAGCAAAGCGGG